ACAAUAAUGCGGCCUCGCUACCAAUACGCAUUUAUUAGUAUUGGUAACGUGACAGUCCCAAGCCUGUAAAACGCAGAGGGUUGU
rnacentral:ribozyme from 2 species